rnacentral:rRNA from 1 species
GACGAACGCUGGCGGCGUGCCUAAUACAUGCAAGUAGAACGCUGAAGAGAGGAGCUUGCUCUUCUUGGAUGAGUUGCGAACGGGUGAGUAACGCGUAGGUAACCCGCCUUGUAGCGGGGGAUAACUAUUGGAAACGAUAGCUAAUACCGCAUAACAAUGGAUGACACAUGUCAUUUAUUUGAAAGGGGCAAUUGCUCCACUACAAGAUGGACCUGCGUUGUAUUAGCUAGUAGGUGAGGUAACGGCUCACCUAGGCGACGAUACAUAGCCGACCUGAGAGGGUGAUCGGCCACACUGGGACUGAGACACGGCCCAGACUCCUACGGGAGGCAGCAGUAGGGAAUCUUCGGCAAUGGGGGCAACCCUGACCGAGCAACGCCGCGUGAGUGAAGAAGGUUUUCGGAUCGUAAAGCUCUGUUGUAAGUCAAGAACGAGUGUGAGAGUGGAAAGUUCACACUGUGACGGUAGCUUACCAGAAAGGGACGGCUAACUACGUGCCAGCAGCCGCGGUAAUACGUAGGUCCCGAGCGUUGUCCGGAUUUAUUGGGCGUAAAGCGAGCGCAGGCGGUUUGAUAAGUCUGAAGUUAAAGGCUGUGGCUCAACCAUAGUUCGCUUUGGAAACUGUCAAACUUGAGUGCAGAAGGGGAGAGUGGAAUUCCAUGUGUAGCGGUGAAAUGCGUAGAUAUAUGGAGGAACACCGGUGGCGAAAGCGGCUCUCUGGUCUGUAACUGACGCUGAGGCUCGAAAGCGUGGGGAGCGAACAGGAUUAGAUACCCUGGUAGUCCACGCCGUAAACGAUGAGUGCUAGGUGUUGGAUCCUUUCCGGGAUUCAGUGCCGCAGCUAACGCAUUAAGCACUCCGCCUGGGGAGUACGACCGCAAGGUUGAAACUCAAAGGAAUUGACGGGGGCCCGCACAAGCGGUGGAGCAUGUGGUUUAAUUCGAAGCAACGCGAAGAACCUUACCAGGUCUUGACAUCCCGAUGCUAUUUCUAGAGAUAGAAAGUUACUUCGGUACAUCGGUGACAGGUGGUGCAUGGUUGUCGUCAGCUCGUGUCGUGAGAUGUUGGGUUAAGUCCCGCAACGAGCGCAACCCCUAUUGUUAGUUGCCAUCAUUCAGUUGGGCACUCUAGCGAGACUGCCGGUAAUAAACCGGAGGAAGGUGGGGAUGACGUCAAAUCAUCAUGCCCCUUAUGACCUGGGCUACACACGUGCUACAAUGGUUGGUACAACGAGUUGCGAGUCGGUGACGGCAAGCUAAUCUCUUAAAGCCAAUCUCAGUUCGGAUUGUAGGCUGCAACUCGCCUACAUGAAGUCGGAAUCGCUAGUAAUCGCGGAUCAGCACGUCGCGGUGAAUACGUUCCCGGGCCU